rnacentral:rRNA from 1 species
GAAGCGGGAAGAGCUCAAAUUUAUAAUCUGGCACCUUCGGUGUCCGAGUUGUAAUCUCUAGAAAUGUUUUCCGCGUUGGACCGCACACAAGUCUGUUGGAAUACAGCGGCAUAGUGGUGAGACCCCCGUAUAUGGUGCGGACGCCCAGCGCUUUGUGAUACAUUUUCGAAGAGUCGAGUUGUUUGGGAAUGCAGCUCAAAUUGGGUGGUAAAUUCCAUCUAAAGCUAAAUAUUGGCGAGAGACCGAUAGCGAACAAGUACCGUGAGGGAAAGAUGAAAAGCACUUUGGAAAGAGAGUUAACAGUACGUGAAAUUGUUGGAAGGGAAACGCUUGAAGUCAGACUUGCUUGCCGAGCAAUCGGUUUGCAGGCCAGCAUCAGUUUUCCGGGAUGGAUAAUGGUAGAGAGAAGGUAGCAGUUUCGGCUGUGUUAUAGCUCUCUGCUGGAUACAUCUUGGGGGACUGAGGAACGCAGUGUGCCUUUGGCGGGGGUUUCGACCUCUUCACACUUAGGAUGCUGGUGGAAUGGCUUUAAACGACCCGUCUUGA